GUCUUUUGUUGGUGGUUGCGUCAGGUCUUGGGAGAAGGAAAAAAAGUAUUCAAUACCUGCUAGCUAUGUUAAAAAAAAAACUCUUUUUUUAUCCACACAAAAGAGUUAGACAUAGUAUUUUCUAAAUGUCAAACAAAAUUAAGAGUGUGAAAAGAAUUCUAAAUCAUAUAGUACCCAAAUAAAAUGCCAUUAAUUAACUUUUUGUAAAAUGCUGUUUGGUUAUUAAAAAGCUUCAGGAGUAAAUGUCAGCUGUAAUGUGAAGGGUGUGCAUAAGACCAUGCGAUAGGCAUUUUGACAAACUGGCUGUCUCAGGAGAAGCUGGAGGCAGUUCAAGGCCUUUUGUAUUUGCCCUGUGGGCCUUAUUUGGCAAAACUGUAUAAAUCACCCUGAUUUUAUUUCUAUGAUGAUGCCGCAUCCUACGUUCCUCCUAAAAGUACUUAAGAACCCUAGCAGAGGAUUGGUAAGUCACACACAUGCUAAUUUUGUUAGUCCCCUGGCCCAUAUUAUGUAGUUAAUCUCGAAUUGCUACAGGCACACUGACAUCAUGGCAUAAGAAAAGAAUUUACAGAAAUAAAUGCUUAUUUACUGAAAUGCCAAAGCAAGUCUCUUUUGGAGCAGCUGACUGUUAUUCUUAAAGACCUGCCUUAUCGCUAGACUGCCUAGUUUCCAGAGAAAUCAUUACUUGUUCCCACCUGUCCAUUCAACCCUCUCAGGAGAAAAAGACCUUACAUUGAUUGAUUUCCAACACUAGCUACAGACACUUAGGGGUGAAUUCACAAAAGAGCAAGUCAUAAAAUGGCACCUUUUAUAUAAAGAAUUGUACCACCUCUAGCCUCUCUCACCAACCUACCAUAAUUUGAGGUUUGAGAUGGGCAGAAGUGAAGCCCUUUCUCCCUGUUAAACAUCUCCAGAAUAAAUCAGAAAGUUGAAAAACAAUUGUGGGAAAACUUUUUGGGUACUCCAAAAUCACACUUGCCUGUGGCCUCCAUUAAGGGAGUUGACAUCAUUGGUCUCAUUUGCUUUGGCCUGUGGUAGCCAAGAAUCCCCAAAGUAGAAGGCAAUUAAUUUAAUUUAUAGUCUAGUGUUAAUUUUGUAAUGGCGUUAUUGGAUUAUUUGGGUUUAAUUUCCCUGAGGAUUUAAUACAUUUCUCUUCCAAAUUGUUCCUUUGCAAACUGCUGAUGGAACUUCCUUUUUUUGUGGUCAGUAGAUCCAAACUUUUGAACAAUGGAUGCAGCAAGGAGCAAGUUAUAUUGGCUGAGUUCACACCCUGGAAAAAGUGGAAGGGAUUAGCCUGGGUCUCUUUCGAAACACGCUUGUAUGUGGUUGUUUCAAACUUCAGCAGUUCACCAGUUUUCAGUGCUGUGGCUUGGGGUUUUGGCACAUCGAUUAGAGUUUUUCUGGUUGCAGUCAGCAUCUAGAGUAGCUGAUGUGACUGAUUACUCCCUUGCCUCCAAGUUUAAACUUCCAAGUUUGGAGUGUAAUUAGUGUUCUAAUCUUAUUAAUAUACGGCUUGGCUGUUUUCAACUGUAUCUUCAGUUAGCUUUGAAAAUGUUAGCAGAUAUAAAACAACAUUACCUAACAUAUGCGGUAUGAAAUCAUCAUAAAUCGUUUGAUAAAAUGUGCUGCCACAAACACAGCACAUUUAGGGAUUCACAGCACAUACGAGCAUCCAAAAAAAAAAAAAAACUAUCUCCCUGACACAUGACAUUUACACACAUGCUUCAUUUACUAAGAUUUUAGAGAUAUUAAGGCUACUCCCUUCUAAGCUUCUUUCUCCAGCCUGGACACUUCUCCUGAGCUUUAGACCUCCCAGGCACUCAGCUUCCUACCAGACAGUACUGUCGAGGUGUCCCACAAGCAUCUCAAGUUCAGUAUGUCUGAAAUGGAAUUUAUUCAAUACCUGUCUCUCCUCCUAUGUUUCUAAUUUCGAUGAAUAGGACUCUAUCAGUCAGAGUCUAAUCAGAAGAUAGAAAACACAGUAAUUUGAAUAGGAAAUGAUUAAUAUAAAGAAUUAUUAAUUAUAACAGGAUUAACCAUAAAGGGGCAAAGAAUACACUAGGGCCAAGGGAGAUUAUCUAAGGAAAGGAUAAAUUGAUGGGAAUUUAGUGCUUAUUGGAGAAGGUGUGGAUGGCAGAGAAGUUUUCUGGGUAACCCUGGCCAGAGCCUGUUUGUAAUCACAAGGGGAGACAUCUUUUGGCAGUGCAGAGGGCCCAAUGUUGGGAAGGCAACUUCUAGGAUAUCUCUGAGACUCACUGGGAAUCUGCCGCUGAAAUUUGAAGGGGGUGAGCGCUACUAGAUGUCCCCGACACUACCACUGGCAGCCAUGUAUAGGAGCACAAAGAAGCAAAUGGAAGCACACUUGAACCAGGAAGAGAAGUCCCUUCCUCCUGCAGUAUCCCUCCAGUGACUUCUACCAACAAAGCUUAAAACUGUGCCAGCUACAAAGGAGAAAUGCUUACUGGGUCCAUAUCCAUUAUCUCAGAACAUGCAGUGAAUGGUGGAUUUGGAGCUGAGAGGCAAUAAAUAGAUAACUGGUGCAGUUACUAUAUCUACCCAUUUAUCCAGUUCAAAAUCCUUGUGAGAUCCUUGACUUUUUCCUCCCCUUUUCUUCCACAUCCCAUUCUACAGUUAGUGAACAAUUGUGUUGUUUCUAGUUUUGAGCUAUUACACUCAAUAACAAUAACCAAUUUUUUUUGACCACUUAUGAUGUGCCAGGAACUAAGUCCUUUGUGAAUUCACUUGUUUAUCUUUCAUAAUAAUCCCGUGAGCAGGUACUAUUAUUGUUCCUAUUCUACAGAAAGGCAAACUAAGGUGUGGAAAGAUUAAUAACUUUCCCUAUAGGUGGCAGAGCCAGGAUUUGAGUGCAAGCGAUCUGAAUACUUACUCACUGAGCUAGUCUGCCCAGUCCAGUCUGGUCUUUCCUGACUUCUAAAUAGCUCUUACAUCUGUUCAAUUCUCUCCUUCCCAAUUUCUAUUAUUCAGUUCACCAUCUUCUCUUGCCUAGAUCUUUUUUGUGGUCUUCUCCAAUUCUUCCUCCACAGUGCAAUCAGAAAAAUUUUUAUAAAAUACAAUAUAUUUAUGAUUUCUUCCUUAAUACCUUUCAGUGGUUUCCACUUUCUCUUGGAAUCACUUAGAUAGCCCAGUCUUCAUGACCUGUUCUCUGCUUAUUUCUCCAGUAUUAUCUCUCGCCACUCCCCACCAACUCUGCUUUAUGACAAACUUCUUCUGUUCUUCCAAAUGGAUGAGGCUUCUCUUGCCUCCAGUCCUCUGCUCACGACUUUCCUGUGUUUGGGAUAUUCGUCCACUCCCCUCUUCUUCUUACAUCUACUCAUUGUUUGGGUCUUGGCUGAGGCAGCGCAUGUUGUGAGAAGUCUCUUCUGACUUCCAGCUCCAGUAAAUGGCUCUUUGUUCUUCCCUAAUCAGGAUUUGUCCUGUUUCCCUGUCUCCUCCUCCACUGCUCUGUGAACUAUGUGAGGGCGGGACCUUGCUUGUGCAGAUCAUAGUGGUAUUUCCAUUGUCUGUCUCACAGAAACUCAGGGAAUUUUAUUUCUAAAGGAAUAAAUAAAUUUUUCAUCAGGAUUGGGAAUAGGAGUUGAAAGUGAAGUUGCUUAUUAAUUAUUUUUCCCAGUUUUGGCUGUUGACCAGAGUUUUCUCUUUACUGUGACUUAUACUUUAUUAGAGCUUAAUUGUGUGGCUUAUCCUGAAAUCACAACAUCUUACCAUUCUCUUGUUGAGGAUUCACAUCUGAGGCUUUCCCAGACUGAGACCCAUACAUGGACAGUCAGGUAAGAACAGGUUGAAUGUGAGUUUUGGUUUAUUCUGUUGUAGUACAACAUGCAGCUUGAUGAGUUCAACAUGUUCUGAUGGAUCUUGCCAUGUUGAUGGGUGUGAAAAGGGUGUGAAAAGGGCCUACACAGCCCGAAGCAGGGCUCCCUGAUGAUGCUUCAGGGUCUCCCACGAGGCAGACUUCACAGGCCUACUGGCUCCUCUGGCUGAGGGCAGAAAAGGAUUCUCUGAUUGCUCAUUAUUUUUUCAUGCCCACUAGAUGCACCCUAACUUCUGGCAGGCAGUUAGGGUAGGGGACAAAUUAUUGCCACCAAUCAGGAACUGAGCUGACUUGAGUUGGGUUUAGGACUCUGUAAGGCUCUGGUUUAUCUACACCUCGAAUAAAAUAUUUAAAAUAAUGGGUUGUUUUUAGGCCAUGGGCUGCAACUUUUCAUUUAAAUCUUUAUGUAGAAGGGCCAACUCAUGCCAUGCAUUGAUCCAGGUCCUUGACGCCACGGUGAGGUCUACCAAAGAGGCGGUGAAUUUUAAUAUCCAGAGGAACCUCAUUCUAGAACCCUUCUCCUCACCCUCAACCCAGCAGUUUACUUCCAGGGUAUUUGCCAUUUUACACUGUUUGUUUUUCUUUCCUUCUAAGGACAAUCCAAAUGUUGUGCGAUGCAAAAGAAUUUAUGGGCAUUAUAGUCUUAUUUUGCGUUUCAUGUUUGCAAAGUAUUUUGCAACCAUUUGUUAACUAAUUUUAGGCCCUCUUUGGAGGAUGGUGGUGGUAUUACUGUGUAAUUCAUUUCAGCAUUAUGUGUGCAAAGAGAAAGAAAUACCUGCCUUGGUUCCAAAUAAAAUCAUCCUAUGCAAAUUGCAUAAAAUUACUAUUUUUAAAAUGUGUGGUGGUGCCUUUAUUUCAAGAUUUAUGAAUGGUUUGUUAUAAUGAGCUUGUCAUAUUUUGAUAGCAGGAUUGUAUUUAUUUCUCUGCUUUUUAUUCUGACGGAUUAUAAUGCCAGGGUCUUGGAAGGUGCCGACAUGAACAUGGGACAGAGAUUAUUUCUCCAUGUAGUAAAAGCGGUUGAAAUUCAAUUCUAGUUGAAGUAACUUAAAGAAUCAAUUUGUACGAUGCAAGAAUAAACAUUAAAUAUUUAUAAAAGUUAAUUCAUAUGAUUUAUUCCAGAAGGUUGAUUAAAUGGCAAGGUCCCUGUGUCUAAAGGACAUAUUUUAGAACAAUAUAUUGAACAAACUUUCAGUAUCAGUAUUAGGUCUGUCAAACGAUAUGGAGUGGUAAUGUUUUAAAAAAUGUUUAAAGCAGUUGUGCAAGGCUGAUUAAGAAGCAGCCUCUGCAGCACAGCUUUCCAAUUCGAGCUUUUAUGCUUUUUAAUGUUUCAUUUUUAUUGACAUUUUUUUCCUUGCAGGAAAAAUGUGUGAUUUUUACUGGCCUGGCAGGGGGUUGUGGUACCUCUUGCCAGAGUGUCAAGAAAACUCAGAAUUCUCUACAUGAGGGACAAAGACCAGAUGUUUAGUUAAAACAACCCAUAGCUUUUAUACAAAUAUGGGUAAUGGAAACCCAGACCUUUACUGGGAUUUUUUUUUUCUCUGUUUUUGGCCACUCUUGCUUUUUAUAUUUUUAAAAUAAGUGAGCAGCCACCUUGUCUUCCAACCUGAAUGGAAUAAUUUAGUUUCUUACAAAGUGUGUGCUUUUUCAAUAUCUUGGUUUUUUUGUUUUGUUUUUUCUUUGUUUUGAAGGAUUCUGCUCUAAAAUGUGGAAGGUACUCUUCAAAUAAUGAUUUGCUUUAAUGAAAAGAAUGUUUGAGAAUUUCAGUAGCUUAGGAAGGACGUGGCUUAAUCCUUGGGCCUUUUCCACUAGUCUGGCUGCAUCUUUGCUGGGGAGGAAUUCUGUUGCUUAAACCUACACCGAUGUGGGUUUUGGAGGAUGUGCAUAAGGACAACUGUUUUCCCAUCUCAAUCGGGAAUAAGGGCAGCUGGGUAACUAAUAAAAAGGAGCAUCAUUACAACUAUGGAUCCACCCAGGUGCUCUUUCAUCUCUGAUGAAAAGAGAUGAUAAGGGGGCUAAUUCAAGUAUGUAUGUGAAUGGGUUGUUGUUUUUUUCUUUUUAGUUGGAGGUCAGGUGGUUUCUAUGCUCCUGAGUGCCGUUGGUAGGAGCUUCUGAAAAGGUCCACAGCAGCCAUGCAGUUCCCGUGGUUCUCAGCAGAAGCUGGCCUAGCUCUCACCACCCUUGCAUUAAUGCAGUGGCACUUUGACUUUAUUCUUUUCUGUUACCAGUCCUUUGGCUUUGGCCACACCACCUGCCCUUCUGCUCUAGGUCUGAGCUCAUUUGAGUAUCUCAUACCAGUGGGCUCCUGCAUCAUUUGGAUCACAGUGGCUGGACUUCAUCACUGAGGAGGAGUUUACACUUCCCUUUGACAUUGGUUUUAUUGGACCCCCAAAGAGAUGUGUCCGUGACAUAGCCAGGAAUUACAGCAUGGCAGUUCUGCUGGCUAAACUCAACCAAUUCCAUGACAAAUAAAACUCAACCAAUUCCAAGCAAGCAAACAGAAAAAUCCUCAAAUAGUUGUCUUUGGAGGAACAUCUAAAAACAUACUUCUAAACCUACUGUGGCUUUAGGAAUAAAUUUAAUUAAAGGAGAAGAUUUUCUGGCAAUCUCUUGAUUCUAAAAGACGAGAUCUAGGCAGAAAAUCCUGUACUUAUUGAGGUUAAAUGAGCUAAAUGAAUGUUAAUGUAAUCCUAUUAAAUACAUAAUGGAUUUAACUUUAUACUGGAUCUUGUACCAAUUAAGUUUAAGAAAUCAGAUAUUUCCCCAUUGAGAACCUAUAAUAAAGAAAAUAGACAAUGCUGGUAAAGGUUUUAGAACAUAUUUAGACACACAAGCAGGCAUACUAUCUCUAGGGACAAUAGCCUAUUAUAAACACAAGCUUGGAUGACUCAGAGCAGUUUUAUAAGGGUGGGCUUUGGCUGAUGGGCUAUGGUAGAGCCCAUUCUAAUUCACUGAUAGGAGUAGCCAAUGAUCCAUGAUCCAGAAGCAUCCAACUAGGAGACUGAUGUGGAUCUUUUAGUAAAUUCCAUGCCCCAUCCCCCAACCUCUAGGUCAAGAGCGGUGGAAUAGCCUUUCUUAUGUUUCCAUAUUCUUGAGGCUGAUUUAUUUGUUUAAAUUUACCACUUCAAAACUUCCCUGAAUGUAUAUCUUAACCUGAUCUAACUUGGAUAAAAAUAUCCAAGGAGAAGGGGUUCCAGAAUCCUGGGAAGUCCCUGAUACACAGGCUAAGCAGGGCAUGGUGAAAGAUGGAGUAGGAGAGAAAUCACCGUGGGCUCGCUUUGGACCUUCCUGCCUCUUGAGCAGUUUCCUAUUCUUGUGAAUGUUUGUAGUUGAUGCUUUCAUAUUGGCACAGCUGCAAAACUGAUUCUCCUUUACCUGAUAUAUUAUUCAGAGCUCCUUGGUUGCCAUUAGUGAAAUUUUUAAUGUGUUUAAGCAAAAUGAGGAAUUUUUUAUGAGGAUACUGGGAUGUCUUAUAAAUGGGAUAGGGGCCUAUAGAACGUCUGGAGCCUAGGAGUCAAAUUACCUUCAGAACUUUCUCCUGGAUCCUCAGUGCUUCUCUCAGUGCAUCAGUUUCAUUAUCCUUUCCUACUGACAUUUUGAUUUUUCUGCUUCUCUAUCCAUUUAUUAACACCUGAGUUUGAGUAUCCUCAAUUUCAGCCAUCCCAUGAGAAAAUGCCUCAUCUCAGUUCCACCUUCAAAAUACUAGGGAAAGAUUCUGAUGGGCCCAGUCCAGAUAAGGUGCCCCAUCCUGAGCCAGUGAUCUGUGGCUAAGGAUGGUCACAUUGCAUAACAUAGAGGAUCCUAUUGCAAACCUGUGAAAGAGUUGGGGGCAGCUGGUGCUACUAGGAAGACAAUAUAAAAGGUGUUCAAUACAGCUGGAUAGAUAGAGUGUAAGGGAGAAUCUGAACUGUUCUCUCCCUGUCUCCAGUUCCCCAAGUGGAGGAAAACUACUUCCAAGCUGGUGAAAAACUAAGUUCUGAGUUGCAGUCAGAGGGUGAUGUAACCAUUCUGUGUUGGUGUGGGCAUUUCUCUGUUUCUCUCUAAAGAUGAGAGGUCUGAAUCCUACCCUGGUGAUUCUAGUAGACAGUGCUUUCAUCUCUGCCAUCUGGGUCUUUGUUUUUGAAAGCAGGUGUUCUUGUGAGAUAUUUUUCAUGGCUCAUGCGGGGCUUUGAUGGUAAACACAAAAGAAAACAAAACAAAUUCUAGAUCUUCCUUCCCCCGGGGUGUCUGAGGGCACAAUUCCCAGCUUUUCUCCAUAUAUCCAUCAAAAGCUGUGCCAACCUCGAGAGCCUGUAAGAUUCCCUUUCUCCCCUGGCAGGUGAGAGCCCUGGCUCAGGUGUUUCUCUUUGGCAUUUGGAGGCGCUCCUGUUUCCAACGUUAUGCUCAGCACCAGAUAUGAAGCACUGUCCUGAGAAUUUUAAGACCAGGUGGUUUGGUCCCUAAAUGGUCCUAAACUCUUUUUAACUUGGGCCUCUUUCCUAAAUGUUUCACGCCCUUUAUUUCGCUGUGGUCCUACUGACUUGCCUCAUUUCUUCCCACUGAGUUUACUAAGGUCGAGUGAGUUCUAUGACCUGGAGUAGAGUGGUUCAUUGCUUUUGAGCAAGAAAGUUUAUUUUUCCAUUAAGGUGGCAGAUUUGCCAUUCUCUGCCUGACACUUGGGUAGUCUUCCUUGGAAGCACUCCACAAUUCCCUUCCCUCACAUAACUGUGUAGAGAUCAGUGGGAAGUAUUUAUUUUGGAGACGGUACAAAUAAGACUCUUGUGUAUAAUUCCAGAUAUAAGUACCUAUUCUUUUGGUAGUUAGGUUCAUUGUGCUCUGUCAAUUUUUUGACAGUAUUUACACUAAAUUAGAAGUAGUAAUAAUGGGACAUCCUAGUUCAGUCCUACAAGCAUAUCUGUCUACAAUAAAAUAUUUGCUUUCAUUGACAGAAAGUAUUUUACAAGUGUUCAUUAAAACAACUUGAUAACUGCAUAUCCAUUAUCAAUAACCUAAGAUGAGGAAUUACAUGUUACGUGACUCACGUAACCAAUAAGGAAGCUGCCAUUUCCAUAAUUAUAAAGAAUUCAUAUCACAUCCAUUUUACUAUUCUGUAUCAUUUGACCCAUUUAUGGCUCAUUUUGAAAGAGGAAGAUUUAAAAAUUUAUAAAGUUUUUUGAAUGAAAAAUCUUCCAGGUAAUUUCUCCCUUCCAUUGCAAGCAGUAGGUGCUCUCCACCUACGAGGCUGGGCCGUUUGGUUCCACACCCCUCUCCUAUAGCUACACGCUAGUGAAGGAAGUUCAGGCUGACCCCUCUCCCUCAGCAUAGAGCCCGAGCAGAGGACACAUGCCCCCACUCCAGGAAGCCUUCUGAGAGCUAAAUUGUGAAAAGAGUUGGAGUGGGGGAGGAUGAUGCGGAUUGGCCACAUUCUGGGAAAAAUUAAAGCCGUGGGGUGAAGGACAGCCACUCAGUGUCCAUGUACUCUCUGUUCAGUGGCCCUGUCAAAGGUUUUGAACAGCCCGUUUCGAGAAAAUGUUGAGCAAAUGCUGAGCAGGGCUGGCUGAGUCAUCAGCCCAGAAACUUCCCCCAAAAUGUCAGUUACUGGUUGCUGCCGCUGCUGCUUCUAUUCUUCCUGUCUCCUAGAGUUAAUUACGGGGCCGGAGGAAGAGGAAGUGGGAUGCAGGCUGGGAGGGAGGAGAGCAUCCGUAACUGGAAGGCUGGUAGAAGAUGAACUUUUAUCUUCUAGGUUUUCUUUCUGGCACAGAGGAGAGAACCGGGCCUAGUGAACGAUUCUUGGCCUGUUAUUCUUUUCCCUCACCUCCACCCUAAAUCUCAAAAGUAGUUGAAUUUGGGGCAUCUUGUAAUUAGGGUCAAGGAGAUCCCCAGAUUUUUGUCACAUGUGAAGACCUGGGGCAGUGUUGUUCUUGAUACACCGUAAAUUAGUACUGAGAGAUUCUAACCCCUCCCCCACGUGGUUGGAUUGCCUCACCCUCUCUCUGGAUGCGCCUGCAAACAACAGUUGCCGAAGUGAUUUUGAUGAAAUGUGACAUUUGCAGACUGUGGCCACCGACCAAAGAAUCUGAGCUAGAGUAUCCAACAUUUUACAGGCUACAAAAUAGAAGCUGGCCAGCAUUUAUUGCUUGUACUAACAGCUUGCGCCAAGUUUCCUAAGCCUACAGAGCAGACCUCUUACUGCUGCUAAUUUUACUGUCAGCAAACAAAGGGGAAAUAGGAAACAAUAUGGAACAACUGAAGAGGGCGUCUGUGAAAGUGAUAUAAACUCAGGUAAUCUGAAGAGGGGGCAACUUUCUUAUUUCUAAAACUAAAAGGGACUCAAUUUGCACAGAAAUAAAAUGGAAAAAAAAUGUAAUGUAGAAAAAGUUAUAAGCAGAGAUUCUGCACCGGUUUCUCAGGAUGGCAGUAAUUUACAUAUUAAGGCAGCCACGAGGGAAAUGUUAAAAACUCUCCAGGGAAAUUUCCAGUAUGAUGGAUAGAACUUUAAUAUUAAUAUAGGAUUCAUCAUGAUAAUGUAAGUCAUAGAUCUAAAUCUUCCUUCAUCAAUUGAAUCAGUCCUUUUCCAGCCUAUUAUACAGGUAGUACAUGCUUUAAAUAGUGUCAUAUAACAGGCCUGAAGUCUUUCUUUAUUGCAGUUUCUCAAAUUCUGUUCACAGGAAUGGUGACCCACUGAGUCAUUCAUCUUUCACUGUGUUAUCUAGACCAUCUGCAUUUCCCUCCCUUUUUUAAUUAAUAUUUAGUGCUCCUUAAAAUAUACUUAAAUUGUGCUUUUUUUUUACAAAUAGAAAAGCAUAAUUUGACACAUACUAUUUCAAAAUAUACAUGCAGUGAAUGUAAAGGGAAGAUCUGAUUAUUAGUCUAUUUAUUGAUCAUUAUGCAAAGAAGAAAGGUAUUUUCUGGGUUGCUAUUUGGUUUGGUUAUCUAGUACCUAAUUACCAGCCAUAUGCAUGUGUAUUGUUCAGUCACCUUACUCUGGGUUUUCUGAUCUUCUUCUAACACUGACACCAAACCAAAUGGUCACAUAGCCCCUGUAGAAUCCUGUAAGACAAUGACAACUUUUCUGGAAUGAGAAUGAUUGUAGUGCAGUAAUAUUAAAUGUUAAGACUUUGCUGCUUUUUCCAACAGGAGUUUGAGCAUUCAUUUAGCAAUAAUCGUGCCUGGGAUAAACCUCAAUGGCCAUGAUCACUGCACAAAGCUUCAGCAUUCAUUAGUGGACUUUACAAUUACCUUUUCUUAUCUUAGUUUAAAAACACACAUGAAAAUAAAUCUAUGAGUACAGAUCAUGAAUACAGACAUAAAGUGUGCACAAAGGUAAGUAGACCCUCAAGUUCUACAAAGAAAAGGGGGCUUUCUUUAAGCUUGAGAAUCAUUGCAUACUAUGUCCCUCUUCUAGAUUUAUAAUGCACCUUGGCUCCCAGAAAGUAACCAGUGUUAACACUUGGGUGUAUCAUUUCAUGUAUUUGGUUGGCAUAAAAUUUUGGGGAUGUAAAGGUUCUGAGAAGUCCUGCUGUAAAGAAAAUUGUUUAAUGUUGUAGAAUCCAGCAUUUCCUAAACGUUCUUUUGAAGAUGGAAUCCUUUUUUUCCAAAUAAGAUCUAUAAACACAUUGGGAAGUGCUGGUCUAAUAAAAGUAUUCAUUCAUAAACUUGGCCUUUUCUGUUUUCAGGCUUUGAUUUUCAUUGGAAAUGUUUCAAUGAACUCUGAUUCAGCCCUUAAGUCCUGGCUCAGGUGUCACUUCCUCUGUGAUGAUUUCUCUACUUGCCCUAGAAUACAUAUGUAAUUAUUCCCUUUUGCCCCUACCUCCAUGGCAGUAUGUGUGUGUGUGUGUUGUGUGGCAAAUCUAUGUUAAUGUUUACAGCAUGAGCUAAUUUAUUUUUUAUUUCCCCCUCUCUAAUCUACCAUCUCCUUUGUAUUAAGGAGUGUGUUUUUGUUCCCAGUGCCCUACAGAGUGCCUGGCUCAUGGUAAGAGUUCCACAAAUAGCUGCUGAAGGAAUGAAUGAAUAAGGGGAGCCUGGGAACUUAAGCAGAAAAAUUAUCUUUCUGGUGUGUUGAUAUGUGAUUAAUGAAUGAACCCUUUUGAGUUAAGUACUUUUCCCAUUAUAGUGACUAAUUCCCAUACAGUUGAUUGGAUUAAGAUUGACUCUGAUGUGAAAUGGUUAAUCAUUUAGUCUGCCAAAAAUACAAGAUUGACGGUUCUUCAGUCUGUUUCCCCCCUUAUAUAGACAUGAGUGGUAUACGUGAAAAAUUCUAGCACCCAGUCACAACGGGGACAUUUUUCUUAUCUAUACUCACAGUCAGUCCAUAACUCAGAAUUUUUCUUUUUUUAACUGCUAAGGGAAAAAACAGAAUUUAUAGACCUUUUUGCCUUUCAUUAAAACCUAGCAUUACAGAUUUAAAAAAUUACGGAUUUGACUGUAUUAUGCUUGCAGGCUUUUUAUUUGUACUUAAAAUAUUUUUUUCUGAUACACUCUAGGCUUCAGAUUUUCAAAUUUUACUGUGAUUUAGGCAUGUUUUCCUCCCUUUUUUCCUUCCUUCUUUUAUUUCUUUUCAACUUUUAAAAGACUUGCUAGAAUAAACAUAAUACUCUCCCUCUCUGGUUCUACCCUACUCCAGUUCCAUGCCUGUGGAGUGACCAGUGUUGACACUUUGGUGUGUCACUUCAUCUAUUUGGCAUAAAUUUUGGGGGAAUGUAAGGACCUAGGCCAGGAUGGAGGCUAGAAGGCUACAUUUAUAACAUUCUUUUCUACGUUUGUCUGUUCUCUUUGGAAGAUGGUUCACAAAGCCCCAACCUGGUAAGGACACUAAAAGGAAUUAAUAUGCACAAGAAACUUAGUUAUGUUUCUAUCAUCAAGACUAGGCUGGCAAAUUAGCUAGGGUAAAGUCAGCUCGUUCUUCAGUAUUGUCAGAAUGUGAAAAAGAGGGAGCACACCUGAAUGGAAGAGAAGGAAGAAAAACGGAAUUAAGCCAGAAAGACUGUUAGACUAGGGUCAGGAAUACCUACUAUCUGCCCCCUCCCCAUCCCUUAAUUUUUUUAGCACUCAAGGCCACCACUGCAGCUGAGUGAGACUAAUGGGUACUUCUGGCACCACUGGAAGGCCUAAAACAAAAGCAAAGGGAUGAUGGUAGUUGGGGAGGGGAGAAGGGAGGCAGGAGGGGAAGAAAGAGACAGAGGAAGAGGGGAGCGAGACCGUAUGAUGUAAUGGGAAAAGCACUCAGUUUAGAAAGCAGAUUUCUAAAAGCGCUCUAUUUAGAAAGCACUCAAUUUAGAAAAUUCUAGUUUCUAGCUUCCGUGUGACCUUGGGCAAUUAUCUAGCUCAUAGUUUCUUCAUGUGAAAAAGUCUGUGGAUUGCUGGAUGAUCUCUAAGGAUUCUCUACCUCUAAAAGUAAACGUUGGUGAGGUGAGGUGAAGAAUUUGAGAGAGCUGGAGAAGAGAAAGAGAGAUAUGUGUAUGUGAUUGGUAAAGGUCACCCAACUCGGGUGCCCCUGAACUUGUCUACUCAGGAGCAAUUCCUGCUUCCUCAAAUCUGGGAGACAAUUGAUUAUAUCUAGAAGUUUCUGUUCAUUAGCUGGGGUGGAGAUGAGAAUCUAGCUAACAGAGAAAGGAGCUGUUUUAUAUAUAACCCCUUCCAGAAAGCCAAAAGAUGGUGAGAAGUAGAUAGGGUUCUUGGUAACCAGGUAAGUCUUGCACCUGCAGGUUCAUCCCAGGAAACCAAGCAUGGAAAUGGUGACUGGAUCCUCAGACUUUCAGCUUUAGAUGGGGUAAUUUUGACAGGGCAUAAACUCCUUGGCUAAGUACCAAAGGUUCCUGGGAACCAAUUUCUAUAGCAUGGUUUAGACUCAAGACUUUUUGAAGGCCAAAACAAAGAGAAUGAGUUUCAUAUUCUCAUGCAGCUGCUCUGAUGCCUGAAUUCCAAAGGCACUUUAGAAACAGAGCUCAAACUUGGACCCUUGACCAUCAGAGUUCUCCCUGCAGCCCAUUUCAGCAUAAGCUCGGGGACAGUCAGCUGUGGAAUGUUAGAAGAGUAGAAUAAAUUUCCAGGGCUGUAGGCUGUUAGCUGAUUCCCCAGAAAGCAGUCCUGUGAAGCCAUUCUUAUUUUUACAUAUGGCGUAUCUGAAAAAGGGAUUAUUCUGCAAUUGCAACAUUUUUUGUUUUAUGUGCCUCUGAAGGCAAGAUAUGUUUUGUCCUCCAUCAAGUCUUAAAAAAUAUUUAUCCUGGCAUCUUCCCAUUUUUCUUUCCACAUGGAAACUCUGGUAUUUUUAAGACUAGUUGUGAAAUCAUUCCUAGGUAUGCACAUUAUUUGGAGAUCUUAGAAAAACUUUUAAGGAAAAUUAAUAUAAGAUGCUAUUUCUUUUAUGUACCAGACAUUACAAACCAUUCUUUUGUUGGGCUUUUCUUGAUUAGCAAGAUGUAAUAAAAUGACAUGUAUUCUCACCCUGUAGCAGGUAUGCUUUAUCUUGUGAGACAGAAUAUUGAAAACAGCAUGGAAGAUAAGAAAAAAAAAAUGAGAAUUUGAAAAAAUGUCCUUAUGAUAGCAUCGUGAAAGCAAUGCUAUCUUCUGGUUAAAUAAAGCAUGAACAAUAAUUUUGGGUUAGGUAUGUUCUUCAAUUAUGCAUUUGAUUUUGGUAAUAAAAGAUGCAUGUUUUUCAAUAAUGUUUGGAAUUUAAAUAUACUGUUCCUUUUUUUCUACUCUUCCAGAGAGCACUUACCAACGCAAAAGUUACCUCUAACCCAUUCUUGUCCAUUAAAAAUUAAAUGCUUUUACAGUAAAUUAUUAAAAGUGCUAGGUUGGCUGCAAAUCACCAAAGGUACCAUAAACCAUUAUGCAAGCAAGCAAGUGAGAAGUCUGAUUAAAUCUAAGGGAUCAGAAGGCACAUACAUCCCUCGAUAUCCAUCACAAAUUCUAAACUACAAAAGCAACCAUAAAAUGGUACAUUAAAUUACUUUAAAAAACUCUUCCAGGGUUUUCAAAAUUCAACAGUGACUUGCCUUUUCAAUUAAGUAUGAACUAAAAACCUUCCACUGCUAAGCACAAAUACACCACUAUUUAGAGGUUAUUUCCACUUUCUUUAAACCUGCAGCAAAAAUUGGCCUCAUUUUUCCAACUGAUGUCACUCACUUAAUGGAAUUGAGGCGUUCUAACAGUUGCUGAAAAGCUAGUUAUUAAUUAAGUCCUGUUAUCCCACAAAGUAUCUUCACUAUCAUUUGAUAACAUUGAAAUAGGAAAUUAUGGGCCCUGAAUGUUGCAAAAUCAUGUUGAAAAUGUUAGAAGUAUUUAAAUAAGAUAUAUUUAAAGAAAAAAAAAAACUCAUGGUUUUGGUUUAAAUGAGAUGAUAUACUCUAAAUUUAAAAUGGCUAGUAUAUUGCCUGGCACAUAGGAGAUGCGCAAUAAAUGGAGGCUUUUCUUGUUAAUCUCAUUUUCAUUUGAAAAACUCAGUUUCCACCAAGGCUAACUUAUCUAGCGCCACCUGGAUGGUGUGAGCUGAGGGCGAUUUGCUCUGAAGCAUGUGCCCUUCUCUGAGUGUCACCCCAAUUGUUACUGACCUUCUUAGAAUCUGCCCUUGCAGGCAACCAUCUAAGUACUCACGUACGCAUAAAAUGGUCUAUUGAAACAGCUCCUUGACAAAGAAGAAGAUACACGAGAAAGAAAAACAAACAUGGAGGUGACAUUUGGUCAAAUUGUGAUAAUUGUGGAGAAGAGGGACCAGCAGCCCAACCAUCAUAAUAAUAAUUGAUUCAAGCAAGAAUUAUCAGUGGAGGGCUCAGCUAGAGUGCGUGCAUAUCUCUUCCCAACUCUGACUCGAGUAAUAUCACAGUGGUAGCUUCAAGUACCCAUGGUGGGAGUAUUUAAACCAGGAAAUUGGGAAAUGAUACAAUGCAGACCUUUUAAAAUUCUUACUCUUUUCCCAGAGGGCUGGUUCUUAUUGGCAGAGACUCCUCCAUAGAUCUCUCAUGCUUCUAUAUGUUUUGCUGGAUAUGCCAAAAAUGUAAGGCCCUGACCUCUCUUUACCCAGGCUAUUCCUCAGGAUUGUAUCUGCAGUGAGCAGCUUUGAAGGAUGAGGUAAUGUCUCCCUCUGGUACAAAAGCAGGCUUGCUUACUGCUUGCUAAAAAUUGGUGGAUUCAUGAAGGUAGCUGUUAACCUGCUACUAAGCUCUUACCAAUGGAAAGUCUUACCAAUGGAGGCCUUGUGACUCUCAGGCUGGAUAUACCCAUUUUGGGAUAGAUCAACAUGGAUUCAACAAAACAAGAGAAACCUGUUGAGAAAUUGGGCAAGAGGAAAAAAGUCUAAUUCUGCUGUGAGAAUUGAAGCUUACUGAUCAACAUAAAGCAACUACUGAUCAGAAGGAAUCCAUGGACAUCAAAUUGAAAGCAAAAGCAGGGAACAUUAACAUGUGGAUUCUGAGGGUAAGGUUGACAUUUCCAGGAACCUGCUAAGGAGCACAGAGGAGAAAAGUGUCACAGUCUAAUCACUAGCCUUGCUUGCAGCUGAGGCCAUUGUUAGGAUGUGUUCAUGGGCCAGUCUGCUGCUGAUGGUGACUCAUUCUUGCCAAUAAAAUAAACAUUAAUAAAUUUA